rnacentral:rRNA from 1 species
UACGGAGGGAGCUAGCGUUGUUCGGAAAUACUGGGCGUAAAGCGCACGUAGGCGGCGCAGCAAGUCAGGGGUGAAAUCCCGGGGCUCAACCCCGGAACUGCCCUUGAAACUGCAGUGCUAGAAUUCUGGAGAGGCGAGUGGAAUUCCGAGUGUAGAGGUGAAAUUCGUAGAUAUUCGGUAGAACACCAGUGGCGAAGGCGACUCGCUGGACAGACAUUGACGCUGAGGUGCGAAAGCGUGGGGAGCAAACAGG